AGCCUGGACCCAGACGGGAGAGACAGGAAAUGGGGUAGAGACCCUGAGAAAGGGGUGCUGGAAAGUUGCGAGGGAGAAGGACCCAUCACACCCCUGCUCCCCCGGAACAGAGGUCUCCCCCACCCUCUGCAGCCCUUCUCUCCCUCACAUGGGCCACACUGAUGUCUAUCAUGAUAUAUAAGGAGGGAAAGGGAAAAAAAGAUAAACAGUCAAAAAAAGAGAAAAAGGAAAGCCUCAGUUUCCACUACUGUGUAGACGCCUGCUUCUUUAAGCACCUGCGAGUCCUGACUUUUUGUUGUUGUGGUUUAUCUCCGUUGCUGUCAUUGCAGGGAAGUCUUACUUUAUUUAAAAAAAAAAACAACAAAAAACAAAAACAAAACAAAAAAGAAACUCACAACUGUAAAGAAAUUGCACCAUGGUAUUUGCUCUUUGAAUCAGUCUCGAGUUUCCAGGAAAGCCGCAUUGAAAUUCUUCAGUAUCGGAAAUCUCACUCUUCAAAUUACUUGAAAAUGGAGGCUUAUCUUUCUUCAAAAUAAAAAGAGUCCUGGUGUAUUCCCUACUGGUCUUUCACUCUUUCCCCGGCCCCUAGAGGAAAGCAAAAUGAGAAAAAAUGCACUUCUCCCAAUGUUCUUUGACUUCAUAAAUUCACAGAUCAGUGUACGAAGAUGAUCUGGUGCUUUUCCUGAUUUAUCGGAGUAAGUCCACUGCCAGCAUUAACCAUUUUAAAAGUCUGAGUGAACUGGGAAGUAAAACACUUUCCCAUGCUGGGCUUCAGCUAUUUCUUUCGAACUUUUAAGUGAUGCUUGAGAAAAGGAACUGUCAUUUCUGCAUCGAGUGGGCAGUUCCUUUAAAAAUGACACUGAAUAAACACACCCAGGCUUCACUGAGACUAAACAUCCUAUGUGUUGGGCUGCAAAUCCACAUCUUUCUCUUUUAGAAUCUCUGGAAAAGAAUAUAAAGUGCAUUUGAAUAUCCAACUUGGUUCUAAUGGAGCGCACGUUAUGUCAACAAACUGGACAGAAUCACUGCUGGGGCAGCCGGGAGAGUCAGAACAGAAUACCCGGCCCUCCAUCUGUGCAGGGGGAGUAAGUGCUGCUUCGAAGGCGUUUGUCAUAAAGCUGUUGUGGACCAAAUCAUAUAAUGGAGUUACUGUUUUCAUAUUUCUUUAAAAGAAACCUGUUUUCCUCGGUGGUGUCAUGCCCUCUUUGUGUACGACAUGGCAGAAAAAAUUGAAUAAGGAUACAUAUCUCUUAUUGUCAGAUAAUAAGGACAUACUUAAGAAAUACAUUUGAAAACAUUUUCAAGUCAAGAAAAGUUGGAACACGUAUGGCAUGAGUGGCGAUCCAUCUUCUUGCAUGGUUUCUGUGAUAAAGGCAACACUUUCCGGGUCAAAUGUUAAUUUGAUCAUAGAUAUUUUUCAUUUGGUUCUCCACAUUGAGAAACGUUUUGAACAACUUGAUGUAGACUAUGAGACACAGAAGAAAUGAUAUGUGUCUCUCUAGCAUUGUGUAGUAUUAGAAUCCAGUAAUUUUUCCAUGGGGACACAUUGGCACUCGAAAUGAAAAUUUCACCUUUCAAACUGUCACCAUGGAUAAGUUACAGUUAUUUUUCUUUUCAUUUUAAAAAGCAACUCUCUUGCUCUAGGACCACUUGAAGUACAUUUUAAGUGCUGUGGAAAGUUUGUGGCAUCUUUAGGGCUGGCAGAGCCCUCUCCUGGCCUCAUUCCUGGGUCUCACCAUCUUCUGAAUGGAUUUCUGUGUUGAUAAUUCAGAGAGCCAGGAGAAGGGGUUUUAUCUUUACUGCGGUAGAGUGGAAGGUGUUUGAGUGGUGUGCAAGAGAUUUGAUUUAGGGCCAUGUUUCAUCCAGUUCCAUUGCCAGCUCCUGCCGUCCUCCAGAAAAAAAAAAAAAGAAAGAAAGGAAAGGAUGGAAGGAGGGAAGGAAGGAAGGGGGAGAAAAGAGAAAAGAAAAACAAAAAACAACGUUGAAAAAAUUCUCAUUUGGCCUUUCUGAAAGGGUAAGUACCUCACCCACAGGGCAGGAUGACACUGUAAUUCUUCAUCUGGAAAAUGGAUUCCUUAUUUCUCUAUCAAGCCUGGUAUGAAGGGAAGCACUGGGGCUUUGCAGUUGUGUCUCUUGGUUUUGGUGGCGAUCAAGAGAGCUUUGCACUUUGGUUAUUUGUAAAGACACUGUACGCUCACUGGAAGGGGAAAAUGAGGCAAUUACCGAGAGGGAAAGGGAGUUAGCUUAGGGUAUCUAGGUGCAUAAAUAUGGUCAGGCCAGUUUGCGCUUAUUCCUAUAUAAUAUGAUGUCUUCAGUUUCCCAGUUUCCAGAAGGGGUUGAGCAGCACCUGGGGUGUGGGGGCUUGUCCUCAUCUGUUAAUUGACUCCCAGCCAGAAAGACCAAGAGGGACAUGUGUUCACCCUCAGCCUGAAUUUGGUUACAUCCUUCAUCUCCUUUACAUAUUUUAACUGUUGAUAUAUGUUGGUUUGUUUUUUUUAAUGUCAGUGCUAGCAACAGUUGACACUAACUUUCCAUCUGGUUCUGUUUAUCUGAAUGCGUACACCUUCGUACAUUUACUGGACUUCUGACGCUCCGUUUUUCUUCCCUGGGAAAUGACACCAAGACAGGACAUCUCUGACAUGAUUACUAAAAAUACCUUUGGAAACACUCAGUUUCUUCUGUUUAGCAAAUUCUUAUUUUAUAAACAGGGACUACAGCCUGACUCUGGGUCAGGACCUUGCCUAUGGAGGGAGACGGUGAUGCAGGAUCAGUAAAUGUGUCUGUGGAUGUAGAAACACCCUGUUCUGGCAGGUUCUCUUUCUUCAGGGAGCUCAGAGGUACAAAAUUCCUACAGGAUUUCCCACCUGGUGGGUGAAGCUCAUGUGCUACCUACCAUACUGGGUUCUCCAGGGCGCAGGUUAGGUGUUUGGAUCACGGAGUAAUUAAACCUUGGACAAAAUAUGCCUUGAGUUCAUGGAGGCUGAAUGCUCUAGGCAUAAAAGACAUCAAUUUUGUAAUGAAAAUAUAGGGACUCUUCAAAGUGUGCCGUCAGGAUGUAGUUCAAUUUUCAAACGAAAUUCUAACGACUGCUUAACUCUCUUUGACUGCAUUCUUACUUUUUCUCUAGCUUUGCUUAUUCACAGAUACUGGAACAAAAAGAUGAGAUGAAGGGAGGAGGCUUGUUUUCCUAAGAGGUGCACGUGACUGAAAGCAUACAAGCUUCUCCCCAUACUGAACUUUGACCAUCACAGGAGUGUCCCUAAAAGUCUAUAACUCUGCUGUCAGACUGCUCCUGGGGGCUUUCCCCAUAGUUUUCCAUGAGUGUCUGAGGAAUGAGGUGGGUGCUGGGCAUGAAUAUGAGCUCUCAGCAUAAGGGAAGAGGGUGCAUGAAAAUCGCGAUUUGCAGACUUGGACCAAACCAUCCAGCCAACAACCACCAAAACUAGUCAACACAAAGAUAUUAAACCAUAAAAGAGUUGAUUUGUCCUGCUGUACAAAUUAAAGUUGCCCAAGUAGACAUUUAACCUCCCCUGAAGUUACUAAAGCUUCUAAUGCAUGAAUAAUGACGAGCAGGCACGUUUUCUGUCCUUGGCCUAAGACAUCAUUACUUUUCAAUGACCGGAAAAAGUCCAUAAACACAGAGUGAUUGUCUGGGGCAAAAGGUGGUCCAGGACCCAUCCCUCGUGGGGUUUUUUUGCUGGCCAAUAAGGCAUGGGCAAUUAGUCCCUGCCUCACAGAAGGGACAAGAGUGGCCAGCCUGGAAACAGGCCCAAUAAGUCCCCCAGCCAGGUGCACAUUCCCCAAGGGGUUCAGAACCCGAUGGGCACACCCAUGGAGGCCUCUGCCAUCUGCCCAGCAUGGCACACACACGCAGUGCUGACAGGGACGCAUCCCCAAAGGAAGGGAGUGGCCAGGACCUGGGCGUGGCCCGUGUGGACAGAGCUGUACUGUCCUUAGUAUCAUUUCUAGGUGUUGGGGUGAAGAAGGGCACCAAAAACAGGGAUGGAGCUCAACUUGUUUAAAGGAAAAAAGUCACCUCCGAGGGGCGCAGGACACCUCUCCUUUUUUGAAGACUGAGGGUCCCUCACAGCUGGCCCUUUGCUGCAGGGGGGGUUUCUAACAUAAUGUGAUUUUUCAGUGUGCUUUGUCUCCGUGGAGAGGCUUCAGAAGGCCCUUGAAGUCCUCAGCCUUAAAUCCAUGUUAAUAGGGCAAGUGUCUUUUUUUUUUUUUUUUUUUUUUGGUAGUGGGGAGGUUUGGCUGGGAGAAGCGUUGACCCAGACUGCGCUCUGGGUAGACCCGAUAUUGUCGGCAGGGCACUUAUUAACCAGUGUUCAUUUGCAGGAUCAAUAUUUCCAGCAAAGGAGUCCACACUCCAGAUACACAACUAUGUCUCGUUUUUUUCCCUUGACACACCAUUUAUUUUAUAAAUACAUCUGCCGGAGAAGAAAAGGCUGUCCGAAGGACUGUGUCUUUUAUCUCCGGGAUAUGCAAAGCACAUUUAUUUUCAGCUUUUAUCUCCGGAAUUGUAUGUUGAUCCCAUACAUAUAGAUUGAUUUUGUUCAGGUAGAUAAUGAAAAGUCAAGUGGAAAAUUACACAAUGGCACUCACGAUCCUGGUCUUAUAUCGGUAUAUAAAUUGG
ensembl:lncRNA